GGAUUGUGACUCGGUGGUAGAGCGCUCACCUAGCACGGGCGGGACCCGGGUUCGAUUCUCAGCACCA
rnacentral:tRNA from 1 species